UGGGGAAUAUUGGACAAUGGGGGCAACCCUGAUCCAGCAAUGCCGCGUGUGUGAAGAAGGUCUUCGGAUUGUAAAGCACUUUCGACGGGGACGAUGAUGACGGUACCCGUAGAAGAAGCCCCGGCUAACUUCGUGCCAGCAGCCGCGGUAAUACGAAGGGGGCUAGCGUUGCUCGGAAUGACUGGGCGUAAAGGGCGUGUAGGCGGUUUACACAGUCAGAUGUGAAAUCCCCGGGCUUAACCUGGGAGCUGCAUUUGAUACGUGUAGACUAGAGUGUGAGAGAGGGUUGUGGAAUUCCCAGUGGUAGAGG
rnacentral:rRNA from 1 species